CAAUAUCAGAGGAGGCCAAAAUCAUCUGUGUGUCUGAAAACACCCUCAGACCCCAGAGGUAUUAUUACACAAGUAC